rnacentral:lncRNA from 1 species
UUUGAAUGGAAUUCCCCUUUCUAGUCAUUUCCAGUGCCCAAACAUGGCAGUUGUAGACUCAUUGUGUUUGGUGCUAUACAGUGACAUCCUGGCCAUCUGAUGUCCUCUCAGCAAUGUGUCUGAGCUUGGGAAGUAGAGGCAUGGAGCCCCUGACUGUUCACACAUGGAUGGCUGCAGCUACUCAGGAGGCCCUGGAACACGCUGAGACUGGCAUACCUGACCCACAUGCAGCCAAGAAGUGGAUGGGAAACAACCAGCAGGUGGCGGAGAAGCAUGGCUCCCUCCUGUGUCUGCAGCGAAGAACCUUGCAGAGCAACUGCGGAG